rnacentral:tRNA from 1 species
AUUUAUGUAGUUUAUAUAAAACACUUCAUUUUCAAUGAAAAAAAGAAUUAUUUUCCAUAAAUU